GAGUUUGAUCAUGGCUCAGAUUGAACGCUGGCGGCAGGCCUAACACAUGCAAGUCGAGCGGUAGCACAGAGAGCUUGCUCUCGGGUGACGAGCGGCGGACGGGUGAGUAAUGUCUGGGAAACUGCCUGAUGGAGGGGGAUAACUACUGGAAACGGUAGCUAAUACCGCAUAACGUCGCAAGACCAAAGUGGGGGACCUUCGGGCCUCAUGCCAUCAGAUGUGCCCAGAUGGGAUUAGCUAGUAGGUGGGGUAACGGCUCACCUAGGCGACGAUCCCUAGCUGGUCUGAGAGGAUGACCAGCCACACUGGAACUGAGACACGGUCCAGACUCCUACGGGAGGCAGCAGUGGGGAAUAUUGCACAAUGGGCGCAAGCCUGAUGCAGCCAUGCCGCGUGUGUGAAGAAGGCCUUCGGGUUGUAAAGCACUUUCAGCGGGGAGGAAGGCGGUGAGGUUAAUAACCUCAUCGAUUGACGUUACCCGCAGAAGAAGCACCGGCUAACUCCGUGCCAGCAGCCGCGGUAAUACGGAGGGUGCAAGCGUUAAUCGGAAUUACUGGGCGUAAAGCGCACGCAGGCGGUCUGUCAAGUCGGAUGUGAAAUCCCCGGGCUCAACCUGGGAACUGCAUUCGAAACUGGCAGGCUAGAGUCUUGUAGAGGGGGGUAGAAUUCCAGGUGUAGCGGUGAAAUGCGUAGAGAUCUGGAGGAAUACCGGUGGCGAAGGCGGCCCCCUGGACAAAGACUGACGCUCAGGUGCGAAAGCGUGGGGAGCAAACAGGAUUAGAUACCCUGGUAGUCCACGCCGUAAACGAUGUCGAUUUGGAGGUUGUGCCCUUGAGGCGUGGCUUCCGGAGCUAACGCGUUAAAUCGACCGCCUGGGGAGUACGGCCGCAAGGUUAAAACUCAAAUGAAUUGACGGGGGCCCGCACAAGCGGUGGAGCAUGUGGUUUAAUUCGAUGCAACGCGAAGAACCUUACCUGGUCUUGACAUCCACAGAACUUAGCAGAGAUGCUUUGGUGCCUUCGGGAACUGUGAGACAGGUGCUGCAUGGCUGUCGUCAGCUCGUGUUGUGAAAUGUUGGGUUAAGUCCCGCAACGAGCGCAACCCUUAUCCUUUGUUGCCAGCGGUUAGGCCGGGAACUCAAAGGAGACUGCCAGUGAUAAACUGGAGGAAGGUGGGGAUGACGUCAAGUCAUCAUGGCCCUUACGACCAGGGCUACACACGUGCUACAAUGGCAUAUACAAAGAGAAGCGACCUCGCGAGAGCAAGCGGACCUCAUAAAGUAUGUCGUAGUCCGGAUUGGAGUCUGCAACUCGACUCCAUGAAGUCGGAAUCGCUAGUAAUCGUAGAUCAGAAUGCUACGGUGAAUACGUUCCCGGGCCUUGUACACACCGCCCGUCACACCAUGGGAGUGGGUUGCAAAAGAAGUAGGUAGCUUAACCUUCGGGAGGGCGCUUACCACUUUGUGAUUCAUGACUGGGAGAAGUCGUAACAAGGUAACCGUA
rnacentral:rRNA from 1 species